CUGGUGGCCAGGCUCACCAACACAACCCUCAGCCUUUGUCUCAGCCGUUCAAUGACUCACCGUCUCUCUCCACCAGAUGGGGACGAGUCCUUGGUGGCACCAGUUCACUACACCUUGAGUAUGGGUGAGACUCAACAAAUGAUUAAAUCCAGUAUGGAGCGACGCUGCUGCACCAGGUCACGGUGCAGGUACUACUGAAGGUCCUUUAUAACAGAAGGGCAUCGUCUGACUUCUACAGUCAGUCAGGCUGAACUUAAGAUAUAACCUGAGAGUAGAGGCGACCGCUGAGGACGAGGAAAGACUGUUAAACUCUGUAAGAACUCACACAGUCAUGGCUGUAAUAUUAUUUUAAUGUAGUAGCUUUUAUAUUAUUUGACUUAAAUAUCAUAUUUAAUCACCUCUAUGUUAGAGUCCAGCUUCUGUUGAUGCCUUUGUGUGGAUUAAUUUAACAAAAGUCCAAGCAGAGUGUAGUGAAGAUGCUGUUUGCCACAGAGCCAGAACUUUAGUCAGUCCAGUCAGAAUGUGUUGGUGCACUGACUGUUCUGUGGACAGGUCGGACUGUAAAGCUGUUUUAUUAAACGGUCCUCACCAACGUCACCGUCACAGCUCAGCUCUUCAGGUUUUAGAUGCACACACUGCGGUUGCCUACCAACACGAUGCAGUAACACACACUGACUUUAUGAACAGCAGCUGCAUUUCCACUGUCAGUGCAGUAGUAGCUAAACAUCAAUAUCACUGGAUUUUAAUGGUGUAAAAACAUGACGUUGCCUAUAAAUGUAAACACGUUUCUGACCAACAGCAGGUGGAAAAUGGAAAUAAAGCAACAGUCUCAGGUUUGAAAAUGUAUUUUUGCAUCCUAACAUUUAUACAUGUGCAGUUGGAGCAGUACAUUUCACUGCAGACAUUUCAGUUGUGACCUUAAAGAAACAAUGAACUCAGUGUGACAAACCAUUUAAUAACAGUGAAGAUCUGCUGGUGGAGGAAACGACCUCCUGUACUGUAGUGGGAUUAGCUGGGUAGCUCAGUGCUGCCCCCCAGAGGCUCAGUGUGGUCGAGGGCUAGUGAUACUCUAAACCACAGUAUGAUACAGUGACACAGUUUGUAGUUUCCUCUGUCAAGUCAGGUUGGAGCUUUUAGAUGCAGAUGUAUUAAACUGGGAGAAUGUGAACAGUUGAGCUUGUUACUUUUGUGGAGACUGUAGAAACACAAGACAGCCAGGACACUGUGCAGCUGAGUCCAGAGUCCAGUUUUACAUAAGUCAUUUCAAACACUUGUUUCCAAGUCUAAAAUAAAAAACAGACACUCGCCUCCUGGAUUUCCUGCUGUAAUCUGGUCCCACUCAGCCUUAAAGGAAACACAGGCCAUAUGAGACUAAAGGACACGAGAGACUGGAUCAUUUC